AUACGGAGGGUGCAAGCGUUAUUCGGAAUCACGGGGCGUAAAGGACGCGUAGGCGGGUUGGCAAGUCAGAUGUGAAAUCCUACAGCUUAACUGUAGAACUGCAUUUGAAACUGCUAACCUAGAGUAUGGGAGGGGGAGAUGGAAUUAGUGGUGUAGGGGUAAAAUCCGUAGAUAUCAAUAGGAAUACCGAAAGCGAAGGCGAUCUCCUGGAACAUAACUGACGCUAAGGCGUGAAAGCGUGGGGAGCAAACAGGAUUAGAAACCCCUGUAGUCC
rnacentral:rRNA from 1 species